rnacentral:misc_RNA from 1 species
GAUGAAGAACGCAGCGAAAUGCGAUAAGUAAUGUGAAUUGCAGAAUUCAGUGAAUCAUCGAAUCUUUGAACGUACAUUGCGCCCCUUGGUAUUCCGAGGGGCAUGCCUGUUCGAGCGUCAUUAUAACCCUCAAGCUCAGCUUGGUGUUGGGGCCUGCUGCAGUGGCAGCCCUUAAAAUCAGUGGCGGCGCCAUCUGGCUCUAAGCGUAGUAAUUCUUCUCGCUAUGGAGUCCUGGUGGAUGCUUGCCAUCAACCCCCAAUUUUUCUAUGGUUGACCUCGGAUCAGGUAGGGAUACCCGCUGAACUUAAGCAUAUCAAUAAGCGGAGGA